GACGAACGCUGGCGGCGUGCCCAAUACAUGCAAGUCGAACGAAGCUGUUUUAACUGGUGCUUGCACCGACUUAAACAACUGAGUGGCGAACGGGUGAAUAACACGUGGGUAACCUGCCCCAAAGCGGGGGAUAACAUUUGGAAACAGAUGCUAAUACCGCAUAACCACAGAAACCACAUGGUUUCUGUGUCAAAGAUGGUUUCGGCUAUCACUUUGGGAUGGAACCGCGGCGUAUUAGCUAGUUGGUAAGGUAAUGGCUUACCAAGGCAAUGAUACGUAGCCGAACUGAGAGGUUGAUCGGCCACAUUGGGACUGAGACACGGCCCAAACUCCUACGGGAGGCAGCAGUAGGGAAUCUUCCACAAUGGACGAAAGUCUGAUGGAGCAACGCCGCGUGAGUGAAGAAGGUUUUCGGAUCGUAAAACUCUGUUGUCAGAGAAGAACGUGUGCGAGAGUAACUGUUCGUGCAGUGACGGUAUCUGGCCAGAAAGCCACGGCUAACUACGUGCCAGCCGCCGCGGUAA
rnacentral:rRNA from 1 species